GAUGAACGCUGGCGGCGUGCCUAAUACAUGCAAGUCGAGCGAACGGACGAGAAGCUUGCUUUUCUGAUGUUAGCGGCGGACGGGUGAGUAACACGUGGAUAACCUACCUAUAAGACUGGGAUAACUUCGGGAAACCGGAGCUAAUACCGGAUAAUAUUUUGAACCGCAUGGUUCAAAAGUGAAAGACGGUCUUGCUGUCACUUAUAGAUGGAUCCGCGCUGCAUUAGCUAGUUGGUAAGGUAACGGCUUACCAAGGCAACGAUGCAUAGCCGACCUGAGAGGGUGAUCGGCCACACUGGAACUGAGACACGGUCCAGACUCCUACGGGAGGCAGCAGUAGGGAAUCUUCCGCAAUGGGCGAAAGCCUGACGGAGCAACGCCGCGUGAGUGAUGAAGGUCUUCGGAUCGUAAAACUCUGUUAUUAGGGAAGAACAUAUGUGUAAGUAACUGUGCACAACUUGACGGUACCUAAUCAGAAGGCCACGGCUAACUACGUG
rnacentral:rRNA from 1 species